UACACUCCUACGGGAGGCAGCAGUGGGGAAUAUUGGACAAUGGGCGCAAGCCUGAUCCAGCCAUGCCGCGUGAGUGAUGAAGGCCCUAGGGUUGUAAAGCUCUUUCACCGGUGAAGAUAAUGACGGUAACCGGAGAAGAAGCCCCGGCUAACUUCGUGCCAGCAGCCGCGGUAAUACGAAGGGGGCUAGCGUUGUUCGGAUUUACUGGGCGUAAAGCGCACGUAGGCGGACUAUUAAGUCUGGGGUGAAAUCCCGGGGCUCAACCCCGGAACUGCCUUUGAUACUGGUAGUCUUGAGUUCGAGAGAGGUGAGUGGAAUUCCGAGUGUAGAGGUGAAAUUCGUAGAUAUUCGGAGGAACACCAGUGGCGAAGGCGGCUCACUGGCUCGAUACUGACGCUGAGGUGCGAAAGCGUGGGGAGCAAACAGGAUUAGAAACCCGAGUAGUCCCAUG
rnacentral:rRNA from 1 species